UGGGGAAUAUUGCACAAUGGGGGAAACCCUGAUGCAGCGACGCCGCGUGAGUGAGGAAGUAUUUCGGUAUGUAAAGCUCUAUCAGCAGGGAAGAAAAUGACGGUACCUGACUAAGAAGCCCCGGCUAACUACGUGCCAGCAGCCGCGGUAAUACGUAGGGGGCAAGCGUUAUCCGGAUUUACUGGGUGUAAAGGGAGCGUAGACGGUUAAUCAAGUCAGAAGUGAAAACCCAGGGCUCAACCUUGGGACUGCUUUUGAAACUGAGUAGCUAGAGUGCAGGAGAGGUAAGCGGAAUUCCUAGUG
rnacentral:rRNA from 1 species